GGGCCCGCACAAGCAGUGGAGUAUGUGGUUUAAUUCGAAGCAACGCGAAGAACCUUACCAGAUCUUGACAUCCAGCUAAUUCUGUAGAAAUACGGAAGUGCCCUUCGGGGAAAGCUGAGACAGGUGGUGCAUGGUUGUCGUCAGCUCGUGUCGUGAGAUGUUGGGUUAAGUCCCGCAACGAGCGCAACCCUUGUGAUUAGUUGCUACGCAAGAGCACUCUAAUCAGACUGCCGUUGACAAAACGGAGGAAGGUGGGGACGACGUCAAAUCAUCAUGCCCCUUAUGAUCUGGGCUACACACGUACUACAAUGGCCAUUAACAAAGGGAAGCAAAACCGCGAGGCGGAGCAAAUCCCCAAAAAUGGUCUCAGUUCGGAUCGCAGGCUGCAACCCGCCUGCGUGAAGCUGGAAUUGCUAGUAAUCGCGGAUCAUCAUGCCGCGGUGAAUACGUUCCCGGGCCUU
rnacentral:rRNA from 1 species